GCGGUGGUAGCUCAGUUUGGUUAGAGUACAGGCCUGUCACGCCUGGGGUCGCGGGUUCGAGCCCCGUCCGCCGCGCCA
rnacentral:tRNA from 1 species